UACGGGGGGAGCAAGCGUUGUUCGGAUUUACUGGGCGUAAGGGGCGCGUAGGCGGUCAGCACAAGUCAGUUGUGAAAUCUCCGGGCUUAACUCGGAAAGGUCAACUGAUACUGUGCGACUAGAGUGCGGAAGGGGCAACUGGAAUUCUCGGUGUAGCGGUGAAAUGCGUAGAUAUCGAGAGGAACACCUGCGGCGAAGGCGGGUUGCUGGGCCGACACUGACGCUGAUGCGCGAAAGCCAGGGGAGCGAACGGG
rnacentral:rRNA from 1 species